AUGCCUCCAGCUUUGUUCUUCUGGCUUAGGAUUGACUUGGCGAUGUGGGCUCUUUUUUGGUUCCAUAUGAACUUUAAAGUAGUUUUUUCCAAUUCUGUGAAGAAAGUCAUUGGUAGCUUGAUGGGGAUGGCAUUGAAUCUAUAAAUUACCUUGAGCAGUAUGGCCAUUUUCACAAUAUUGAUUCUUUCUACCCAUGAGCAUGGAAUGUUCUUCCAUUUGUUUGUAUCCUCUUUUAUUUCCUUGAGCAGUGGUUUGUAGUUCUCCUUGAAGAGGUCCUUCACAUCCCUUGUAAGUUGGAUUCCUAGGUAUUUUAUUCUCAUAAAAGAAAAUUUUUAUCUUUUAUCAUAGAACUACAACUUUGGUUAAACAAUGUAUGUAGCUGAUUAUAUUCUUUUGACAAUUCUAUCAAAUUUCCAAGAGUUAUAGUUUUCUCCCCUCCCCCAAGACAUUUGGAGAGCACAUGGACAUCUGUGUCCCGGCCUCACGGUACCUCCCUCAUCCCCAUGGAAAGAGGAAGAUGAGAGAAGGGAGGGAGGCCUUUGGCAGCCAAGGGAAGACAAGUUUCAGGAGUUCAUGAAGCACCAUCCCCCACCCCCAGUGAAGACCCUACCAGAAGGUCUUAUGUUCUGAGCUAUAUUGAGUGACUGCCUCAUUACCACUCCCUACUGUUAUGUGGCAAGUGUCAGGGCUGUGGCAAGGGUCAGGCUAUCAUCAUUGGCCCCUUCAAUAGACUGACCCUAGCAUUAGGGCAACCAUAAGUCCCUGUGUGCCCAAGACAAUCCUAGUUUACAUCUGAGGCCCCAGUGUCACUAUUAAUAGUGACCUCCUUUCACUCUCAAAGUUGUUCCAGUUUGGGCAAUGAAUUAUAUGAUCAAAGGCCCCAUCUCCUUUCAUCUGUCUGUCUCUCUUUUUUUCCCUUCCAUAGAGAUUUUAUCCAUCCCCACAGCUUAAAAUUCUUUCCCUCUGAAGAUAACUACUGAAUUUUCAUCUCUGUCUUUUUGCCCUGAGUCCACAAUUUCCGCUUGGAUACUGAAACAGUCACCCUCUCAGUGCUGGUGGAAAUGACACAAACUGACAAGUAUUUAUUUAGCCUCAUUCCCAUCACUCACCACUGCCACCCAGAAAAGUGUCACCUGAGUAUUUAUUGCAUGCAGCCCCAACACUAAAGAAAGAUCAGAAAUAUUUGUUCCCGUGGUGGAAAAUAAAGGGCUAUUUGCCCACGUCGCCAGGCUUCCUCUGGAAAGCAUCUGGGAAUCAUUCCAGAAAUUCAAUUUCCAGGUGUGUGUUUCUUUAAGGAAAUAUUGUGGAGUAGAGAAGGAACGCACUGUGCAGGUGCCAUUGGCUGUGGGCGUUGCUAUGGCAGAUCAGCCUUAUUACUGAAUAGCAAAGGAAGGAGUCACCAGGAAAACACAACAUGAACAGGCAGAGUGCACACGCCGUGGCCUCGGGAAGCCACAAUCAUGUGGCUGACAUGGUUCCAGAGUGUGGCAUUAGGGAGACCAACUUCUGAGCUGCAGAUUCACAGCAUGGCCAUGCAGGCAGGGAAGAUGUGCUCUACUCCAGGAUCAAGGAGCAAGCCCAUAUUUCCUCUUGAUUCUGGGACUCCCUCUUGAGACUGAUUUGCUCUAAUGUUAGCUCUUGAGAGAACUGGGGUCCCUGCCUUCUUGGGGAGCCUGAAAAGAAGUUUUGCUGUCUGGGCAUCACAGCAUCCAGAGUGUACAGGAGACAGGUCAGCAGCUGCGGUCAGCAGAGGCACACACGCCAGCCCCUGGAGAUGGGUGGCUUGUCCUGAGCCAAAGCUGGGCUGGUUUAUAAACAGCACCUGUGAAAAGAAGAGGGAUGACUCCAGUGGGACAUUCCUGAACCAUGUGCACCUAUUCACCUAGGAGAAGGAAUGGCUGGAGUUGCAUCUAUCUUUCUGUUUAUGAAAUAUGGGCCCAACUCCAGCGACAACAUAAUUUUUAGACCAUUUAGUGGAAUAAUAAAAGUCAAAAGAGGAAAGAGAACUUACAUGGAUUGAACACCCACUGCAUGCUUAGCUCUCUGCUAGGUGCAUUACAGAAAAGAGCUUAUUGAAUUCUUACGCAAACCCUUGAGGAUGAAUGGCCGCUCACCUGGAGUCUUGAUAGCCAGGUGAUGCAGAUUUAGGAGAAGAAGUCCACCUCAGGUCAGGUUUCCCCAAAGGCAGAUCCUGAGAUGAGGAAUCCAGGACCUAUCACUUACUUGGGAGAGGCAGAGUUUCCUUAUGUUGCCCAGGCUGGCCUCAAAGUCCUGACCUCUAGCCAUCCUCCUGCCUUGGCCUCCCAAAGUGCAGGAAUUACAGGUGAGAGCCCCUACACCUGGUCAUUACUUCAUCUUUUUAUGCUGAAUUUUCCUCAUCUGUAAAACUGGGUGAAAUAAUAUUAAACGUGUUAUAGAACUGCUGUGAGAGUUCAAUGAGAUAAUUCUUGUAUCACAGUAUCUGACACAGCAUGAACACUAAAUAAAUUCUGGCUAAUAUUCUCACUCAUUCUACAAAUAUUUAUUGAGUAUUUUCUGUGUGCCAGGCCCUGUUUCAGGCACCAGUGAUACACCAAUGAAUUGAGAUAGAUUCAAUCUAAUUUGUCAUAAAAUUUAGAUUCUAUUGUCUUAAAGACAGACAAUAAACAAGAAAAUAAGUUGAUAACUAACCAUUAUCAUUUCAGGUAAUAAUACGGUUUGGAUGUGUGUCCCCUGUGAAUCUCAUGUUGAAAUGUAAUCCCCCAUGUUGGAGGUGGGACCUGUUGGGAGGUGACUGGAUCAUGGAGGCAGAUUUCUCAUGACUGUCUAAGAAUCCCCCUAGUGACGAGUGAGUUCUCCCUCAGUUAGUUCACGUGAGAUCUGCUUGUUUAAGAGUCUGGGACCUCCCUCUUCUCUCUUCUUGCCCCCACAUCUCACCAUGUGACGCACCUGCUCUCCCUGUGCCUUCCACCAUGAUUGGACGCUUCCUGAGGCCCUCACCAGGAGCAGAUCCCAGCACCAUGCUUCCUGUCCAGCCUGCAGAACUGAGAGCCAAUUAAACCUCUUUUCUUAAUAAAUUACCCAGCCUCAGGUAUUUCUUUAUUGCAAUGAAAAAGAAGACAAACACAGCUAAUAAUAAGUGUUUGAGCAGAGAUCUAAAGAAGUGAGGACGCGAGGAUCCUGGGGACAGCAUUCUAGGAAGUGGGUGCAGGAAAUAUGAAAGCCAUGCAAUGAGAAUACUUUAUUCUCAUAAAUAAAGUGGUUUAUGAGUACUUGCUAUAAAGAGUACAAAAUACAGUAAUAGAUGAAAGAGGAAUUGGAGGUUGAAAAGAGAUUUAUUGAUCUGUUAGUUGUUUAAUUUAAUAUAGGAUGUUAUCGCAUGUUAGUAUGCCAAUGGGAUGAACCACAAGAAAUAGGAAAAUCAAUGAUACGAGAGAAAGAUGUCAAGUCCUUGAAUAGGAAAGAGGGCUAGGGCCCUGUGUACAGGUGGCAGAUGCCCUGGACCAAGGCUGUGGCAGGCCAUCCCUUGCAGCAGGAAGAAAUGCAGAGGAUAAAAAUACAGCCACAAGAAACAUUCCUGAAUGCUUAGGGAAAUUGCUUUCCUCUUAAAAAUUUCCAAAAAUUCAUCUUAAGCACCUAUUAAAUGGCUCUUCUGGAGCUGAAGGUUUUGUGCUGCCUGCCAAGCAAUGAUUUGGGGUUCACAGCCAAUCCCAGGGGAGUAAAAGCAGGGACAGGAGGUCAGAGAACACAUUCUCUUCCAUCUGUGCAUGCCUUCAAUAAACGUUGGAUUGACUGGAAUUAUGAGAAACUAAAAUCAUUUGUUGAAGAUCUGCUUAAAAGAUAUUUACAGAUGGUGCAGAAAACCAUUAUCCUGAGGAAGGAAUUACAACCUCCACAGACAGUAUUGGGACUGUCCUAAGAAGAUCGGUCUGAAGGCGGGAACCCUGUCCUGAUGGGAUGCUUCACUACUGAGAACUGGGACGGGUCCAUUGACUCUGUGUCUGUUCAAUGACAUGACCAUUUCUUAGGCGGCAAGUUCCCUGAAGGAAGUGGUCGUGUCUUAGUCAAUAUUCAGUGGCUUCCCCCACCACUCCAGAAGCUCAGUCAAGGAGUGGCAGCACAAAGAACAACAGGGCCUGCAGCUCACAGUUGUUAAAGAUGGAGAGCAGAUCUCCCAGAGAGAAAAGGAGACCCUCUUCACAUCAUGUUCUCUCAUUGGCUUCUUCCUGAAGUCUGAGGCCUGAACCCCCAAAUACUGCUAAUAAAAAGAUUUUUUAAAAUUUAAAUUUUAGAAUCAGGGGGUACAUGUGCAGGUUUGUUACAAGGGUCUGUUGCGUGAUGCUGGGGUUUCGGUUUGUAUUGAUCCUAUCACCCAGAUAGUGAACAGAGUACCUAACAGGAAGAUUUUCAGCCCUUGUUCUCCUCCCUCUCUCCUCCUUUUGGAGUCCCCAGUGUCUAUGGAAGGGUAUUUCCUAGGUUUUCUUCUAGGAUUUCAAAGCUUGAGGUCUUACAUUUAAAGCUUUAAUCCACCCUGAGUUAAUUUGCGUAUAUGGUGAUAGGUAGGGGUCCAGUUUCAUUCUUCUGCGUAUGGCUAG
rnacentral:lncRNA from 10 species